rnacentral:rRNA from 1 species
GACGAACGCUGGCGGCGUGCCUAAUACAUGCAAGUAGAACGCUGAAGCGAGGAGCUUGCUCUUCUUGGAUGAGUUGCGAACGGGUGAGUAACGCGUAGGUAACCUGCCUUGUAGCGGGGGAUAACUAUUGGAAGCGAUAGCUAAUACCGCAUAACAAUGGAUGACACAUGUCAUUUAUUUGAAAGGGGCAAUUGCUCCACUACAAGAUGGACCUGCGUUGUAUUAGCUAGUAGGUGAGGUAACGGCUCACCUAGGCGACGAUACAUAGCCGACCUGAGAGGGUGAUCGGCCACACUGGGACUGAGACACGGCCCAGACUCCUACGGGAGGCAGCAGUAGGGAAUCUUCGGCAAUGGGGGCAACCCUGACCGAGCAACGCCGCGUGAGUGAAGAAGGUUUUCGGAUCGUAAAGCUCUGUUGGAAGUCAAGAACGAGUGUGAGAGUGGAAAGUUCACACUGUGACGGUAGCUUACCAGAAAGGGACGGCUAACUACGUG